rnacentral:rRNA from 1 species
UUGAUCCUGGCUCAGAAUGAACGCUGGCGGCAUGGCUAAGACAUGCAAGUCGAACGGACCAUAUAAUUGGGUAACCGAAAGUAUGGUUAGUGGCGAAAGGGUGAGGAAUAGAUAGGAACGUACCCUGUGCUCUGGGAUAGCGUCUGAAGCUUCGGCUUCUUCCGAAAGGGGCGGUAAUACCAGAUAAUGUCCUUCGGGACCAAAGAUUUAUCGGCAUUGGAGCGGCCUAUCUCCUAUCAGCUUGUUGGUGAGGUAACGGCUCACCAAGGCAACGACGGGUAGCGGGACUGAGAGGUUGGCCCGCCACAUCGGGACUGAGACACUGUCCGGACCUCCACGGAGGGCUGCAGUAACGGAUAUUGGGCAAUGGGCGAAAGCCUGACCCAGCAAUGCCGCGUGAUGGAUGAAGCCCCUAGGGGUGUAAACUGCUGUCAGGGGUCAGAAAGCUGGUUUCGGUCAUCUGAUCAUCCCCAGAGGAAGUCACGGCUAAUUUCGUGCCAGCAGCCGCGGUAAUACGAAGGUGGCAAGCGUUAUUCGGAAUCAUUGGGCUUAAAGGGCACGCAGGCGGAACAGUGUGUGUUGUGUGAAAUCCCCCCGGCUUAACCGGGGAAUUGCACAGCAAACUGCUGUUCUUGAGGCAGGUAGGGGUGCAUGGAACUCUUGGUGGAGCGGUGGAAUGCGUAGAUAUCAAGAGGAACGCCAGAGGUGAAGACGGUGCACUGGGCCUGUCCUGACGCUGAGGUGCGAAAGCGUGGGGAGCGAACGGGAUUAGAUACCCCGGUAGUCCACGCCGUAAACGAUGUCUACUAGGUCGUGGGUGUUCUGACACAUUCACGGCCGGAGCAAAAGUGUUUAGUAGACCGCCUGGGGAGUACGGCCGCAAGGUUAAAACUCAAAUGAAUUGACGGGGGCUCACACAAGCGGUGGAGCAUGUGGAUUAAUUCGAAGCAACGCGCAGAACCUUACCUGGGUUUGACAUGCUUGUAUGCCUUCUCUGAAAGGAGUUAGGUUGCCUUCGGGUGAAACUUGCACAGGUGCUGCAUGGCUGUCGUCAGCUCGUGUCGUGAGAUGUCGGGUUAAGUCCUUUAACGAGCGAAACCCUUGCCGUUAGUUGCCAGCGAGUAAUGUCGGGGACUCUAACGGGACUGCCGGUGUUAAACCGGAGGAAGGUGGGGAUGACGUCAAGUCCUCAUGGCCUUUAUGCCCAGGGCUUCACACGUGCUACAAUGGCAAUUACAGAGCGACGCGAUACCGCGAGGUGGAGCAAAUCGCAAAAAAAUUGCCUCAGUUCGGAUUGCAGGCUGGCAAUUCGCCUGCAUGAAGUCGGAAUCGCUAGCAAUCGCGUAUCAGCAAUGACGCGGUGAAUGUGUUCCUGAGCCUUG